GUGCCAAGCGCUCUUGGCAACAGAUGAAGUAAUAACGCGUCCCCUUUAAUUUGCCCACGCUGUACAUCGGGAAGGAGUGGUACAGCGCAGAGGGAUCGGCACUCUCUGAAGUCCCUUUGUAUGCGCGGCAUUGCCUAACUGCAGCCUAGAGCGUUGAUUGUAAUAGACAUAUCGUGUGAAAUUAUCAGCAAAUGAAAGGAGAAAAACAGAGGCUAUUAUAUGCUGCCGCCUUGUUUAAAAAAAAAAAAAACCGGGUGAACAAGUAAGGGCAUGGAUCAUCCUAAUCCAUCUUUUAAAAUAAGAAGGCAGUCAGAUAUUUGAAUCUUGAAUGUAACUAGUUUAAUAGGAUCUGCAUGUAACGGUUUUGCACUUUAUGUUUAAAGAGUGUGCGUGCUUUGCAUGGGCAUUGUGAUGCUUUGAUCUACCCAGAAAAUAAGAAACUAUUGCACUGCAGACACCUUUCUCAUCUCAUCUCACGGCAUUUUCAGUGCUUGACUAUGAGAAGAGAAACAAUGUAAUUGGACACAAACAAUAUCCUAAUUAAAUGGGAGCUUUCAAUUUAACAUACUUAUAAAGAAAUCAUACAUUUUGGGAUAACUGUUAUCACAUUAACCCACUUUUAAGACUUGUCUGUAGAAGGUGUAGUGUCACGAAAACAACGUUUAACGGACCAGGCAUAGGUGUUGCCAACAGGCUAAAUUGCAUUGUGGGUUCCCAAUGCUUUAGUGACUAAAACUAAAAAGAAUACAAAACAACCACUACUAUCUGUUAUGUGAGAUUUUUAACUGUUCAGUCAAUUGUAUGCUACAAUUUGUAUGACAGCGUAAGAUGGUGGGAAGACAAAUGUGGAACACUUUGCUUUCCUGUGGCAAAUGUGUUUUGUAUUAAAUGAUCUGUAAUUCCAUGUGUUGUUUUCAACACACCUUUCUUAUAUCUUUGCAGAGAGCUGAAAUUGUACAAGGACUACCUUAGAUGCUGUUGCAGACAACGUUAUUAGUAGUGACACUGGGGGCGUCAGAUUUAGCUUAUCCCAGCAUAUCCAGAUGACGAUUAUAGGGGGGCUCUUGGAGAUAUUAAAAUACAGCUUGACAAGCUCAACACUUCGUGCUCCCGAUUACUCCGCACUCUGCUUCCCCUGAAGCAACCAAAUUCUUGUGGCUGGAGACGCAAAAAGAGCAGGACUCUUCCGCAUCUUCCUGUGUGCGGUUCCUUCCAUGCCCAGCGCUCUGUUGUCGGAGCCCCCAGUUGCUGCAGAGCAGCUCUACGAUGAAUAAAUACAAGAAGUACCUUUGACGGACGCCUAGACAUGCCUGGGGAAAGGAAAACAACACCGUUAUGACACAAAGUGACAUCUACAGAAGCGUGUAAAUGUGUCAAAGACCUGUAAUUGCAAUCGUGGCCGUUGACAAAGGUGUUAUUCAUAGAUAACGUCUGGUGACCUGGAGUCUGAACGUGUGAACCGUGCUUCUCUCCUUCUCCUUGGCCGCAUAUCACAGAGGUGCCACCCUCACCCACCCCCCC
ensembl:lncRNA